rnacentral:rRNA from 1 species
GCGGAGGAAAAGAAACCAACAGGGAUUGCCCUAGUAACGGCGAGUGAAGCGGCAACAGCUCAAAUUUGAAAUCUGGCUCUCGGGCCCGAGUUGUAAUUUGUAGAGGAUGCUUUUGAUGCGGUGCCUUCCGAGUUCCCUGGAACGGGACGCCAUAGAGGGUGAGAGCCCCGUCUGGUUGGAUGCCAAAUCUCUGUAAAGCUCCUUCGACGAGUCGAGUAGUUUGGGAAUGCUGCUCUAAAUGGGAGGUAUAUGUCUUCUAAAGCUAAAUACCGGCCAGAGACCGAUAGCGCACAAGUAGAGUGAUCGAAAGAUGAAAAGCACUUUGAAAAGAGAGUUAAAAAGUACGUGAAAUUGUUGAAAGGGAAGCGUUUAUGACCAGACUUGGGCUUGGUUAAUCAUCUGGGGUUCUCCCCAGUGCACUUUUCCAGUCCAGGCCAGCAUCAGUUUUCGCCGGGGGAUAAAGGCUUCGGGAAUGUGGCUCUCUCCGGGGAGUGUUAUAGCCCGUUGCGUAAUACCCUGGCGGGGACUGAGGUUCGCGCAUCUGCAAGGAUGCUGGCGUAAUGGUCAUCAACGACCCGUCUUGAAACACGGACCAAGGAGUCGUCUUCGUAUGCGAGUGUUCGGGUGUCAAACCCCUACGCGUAAUGAAAGUGAACGCAGGUGAGAGCUUCGGCGCAUCAUCGACCGAUCCUGAUGUUCUCGGAUGGAUUUGAGUAAGAGCAUACGGGGCCGGACCCGAAAGAAGGUGAACUAUGCCUGUGUAGGGUGAAGCCAGAGGAAACUCUGGUGGAGGCUCGCAGCGGUUCUGACGUGCAAAUCGAUCGUCAAACAUGGGCAUGGGGGCGAAAGACUAAUCGA